AGUUGUAGAAUCACUGGUGAAUAAGGGGUGGGCAAGUUCUGGUGUCAGCCGCCGCGGUAAAACCAGCACCUCGAGUGGUCAGGAGGUUUAUUGGGCCUAAAGCAUCCGUAGCCGGUUGCAUAAGUUUUCGGUUAAAUCUAUGCGCUUAACGUAUAGGCCGCCGAAAAUACUGUGCAGCUAGGGAGAGGGAGAGGUACACGGUACUCGAUAGGAAGGGGUAAAAUCCUUUGAUCUAUUGAUGACCACCUGUGGCGAAGGCGGUGUACCAGAACACGUUCGACGGUGAGGGAUGAAAGCUGGGGGAGCAAACCGGAUUAGAUACCCGGGUAGUCCCAGCUGUAAACGAUGCGGACUCGGUGAUGCAUUGGCUUGUGGCCAAUGCAGUGCCGCAGGGAAGCCGUUAAGUCUGCCGCCUGGGAAGUACGUACGCAAGUAUGAAACUUAAAGGAAUUGGCGGGGGAGCACCACAAGGGGUGAAGCCUGCGGUUCAAUUGGAGUCAACGCCAGAAAUCUUACCUGGGGAGACAGCAGAAUGAAGGUCAAGCUGAAGACUUUACCAGACACGCUGAGAGGUGGUGCAUGGCCGUCGCCAGCUCGUGCCGUGAGAUGUCCUGUUAAGUCAGGUAACGAGCGAGACCCCUGCGUCUAGUUGCUACCAUUACUCUCUGGAGCAGUGGAGCGAAUUAGACGGACCGCCGCAGUUAAUGUGGAGGAAGGAAGGGGCCACGGCAGGUCAGUAUGCCCCGAAACCCUAGGGCUACACGCGGGCUGCAAUGGUAUUGACAAUGUGUUCCGAAUCCGAAAGGAGGAGGCAAUCAUCAAACAAUAUCUCAGUUAUGACUGAGGGC
rnacentral:rRNA from 1 species